AUGGCGGCUUCCGCGAGGCAGGGGGAGAGGGCGACCAGCUUCGCCAUGGCCUGCAGCCUGCUCAGCCGCUACGUCCGCCAGAACGGCGCCGCCGCGGCCGAGCUCGGCCUCGGAAUCAACAAGGGUGAGGCCGAGGCUCACAGGACGGCGGACACCAAGAGCCCUUUGCCUGGGGCGGAGGGCGAGGAGGCCGGCAGGAAGAAGGAGACCAUGGAGCUCUUCCCGCAGAGCGCCGGCCUGCAGGACGCCGCCGCCCCUGACGCUACUAGGGAGGAAGACAAGAGCCAGCUGACCAUCUUCUAUGGUGGGAAGGUGCUCGUGUUCAACGAUUUCCCAGCCGACAAGGCCAAGGGCCUGAUGCAGUUGGCUGGCAAGGGCAGCCCGGUUGCUCAGAACGUCUCUGCGACCACAACUGCUGCAGACACCGCCAAGGUCCAGACGGCCGUGCUGGCCCCGGCAAGUAGUUUGCCUAGUGAUCCGGUUGUUGCUCCUAAGUCUGCUCGUCCGAAUGCUUCUGAUCUGCCAAUUGCUAGAAAGGCGUCACUUCACCGAUUCCUUGAGAAGAGAAAGGAUCGUCUGCAUGCAAAGGCACCAUAUCAAGCUUCUCCUUCUGAUGCAACACCAGUCAAGAAGGAGUUUGAGAACCAGCCAUGGCUUGGACUGGGGCCGAAUGCCGCCCUGAAGCCAAACCAAUAA
rnacentral:rRNA from 1 species